GACGCGCAAUAUGGCGGCGCCCAUGGCGAGCGCGGGGAUGGGUGAGACACGGGGGGAACCGGGACCCCCCAGAACCUCCUGGGACCCCCCGAGCGGGACUGAUGGGCCCAGAACCCCCGGGAGGGACAGGAGAGGAUCCUCCGGGACGUCCUCUGACCCCUGGGAGGGACGGUGGGAGGGGUGAGUCCCGGGACCCCCUGAGACCCCCCCAGGACCUCCUGGGACCCCCGAGGUCCCCCCCGGGCCCCCAGAGAACCGCCCUCUCCUCUCCCCCCAGGCCGGGGGUCCUGACCCGGAGGAGGCAGCGGUGGGGCUGGGAAUGACUUGGGAAUGACUUGGGAUCGACUGGGAUGAGCCGCGGUGGCCCCAGCCCGGAGCAGGAUGGCAGAUUCCGCGGAGGACGUGCUCGGGGAUCUCCUGGGAUUCGAUGAGGAUCCUCCCGUUCCCCCUUCCCGCGGAUCCCAACUCACCUGCGCCCAGGUGAGCUCCAGGGGGGCCCUGGAGGAGGAUCCCGGCGGGAAAUUCCCUGGAGGUGAUGUAGGAGAGACACAGGUGAGUGAGGGCAGAAUUCC